GGUCUAUUUGAAUAACCAUGUGUCAUUUGUUUGAACCAGAACUUGACCAUUUAAACUAGCCUACAAAAACACAGGUUAACACAUUUUUUUUUUAACUCUAGCGGUGACUCCAGUAACUCUGUAAUCCAUGUGGACAGAGACUGGAAUAAGGGUAAAUCCCUCACAUCAGAAAGUGAAACAAGGGACUGAGGAGGGAGUUAACCAGUUUGUCUCUCAAACAAGACAACACCAUUUGUUUUAUAGUUACAACCAGGCAACAAAUACACACAAGGACUUUACGGUGGGGGAAGAGCAACAUAAACAUCACAGCAAUAUAUUAAGAUAUCCACAUAGAGAACAGCUUACUGCGACAAACAUACAGUUUGGUACUGUGUCAAGGAAAGAAAAUACACAUUGUGUGUGUGUGUGUGUGUGUGUGUGUGUGUGUGUGUGUGUGUGUGUGUGUGUGUGUGUGUGUGUGUGUGUGUGUGUGUGUGUGUGUGUGAGAGUACGUAGUGGUUUGUGCAUUGUGGGGACAAUUGGCUAGCGGAACUUGCACUCUCAUACAUACACACAUAUAAACACACGCACACACUCACACACACACACACACACACACACACACACACACACACACACACACACACACACACACACACACACACACACACACACUGAGGGGGAACAAAUUGAAACCAGCUCUAUAAAGAUGGGAGGUAUAGUGUGAUUGGUAUGUAUAAAUGUAGGUGUGUGUGUGUUUAUGUUGGUUGGUGUGUGUGUGUGUGUGUGUGUGUGUGUGUGUGUGUGUGUGUGUGUGUGUGUGUGUGUGGGUGGGUGGGUGGGUGGGUUGGUUUGUGUCUGUGUGUGUGUGUCUGUGUCCUCAAAAACAAAUGCAUCCAGAUUUGUGCAAAUGAGGCAAAUGUAUGUUGGCGAGAUCAUUCACAUAAAGGGCGUGGAUAUGUGUGUGUAUUGAUAUAUUUGAUCUUAUCUUUAAAUGAUGGUGUCGCUGUACAUAGUGUGUAUAUAUAUAUACGUUGUAAAUAAAUAUAUAAUAUGUACAGCAUGUACUCAAGGCCAUGUACCCAUUUGUACAUGUAUGUUUGUACGGGUUCAUUAGAAUGUUAUUAGUGUGUGCGUGCUUGUGCCUGUUUUUCCUUUUGUUUGCCUUGAUCUGUGCAUCUGUGUUGACGUGCACAUGUAAGUGCGUGUGCAAAUAUGUGUGUGUGGGUGUGUGUGUGUCCACUGAGUUUAAGAGCAGUUGUCAUUGACAGCUGCAGGAGAGGCAGGCAACAAGAGACAGAGAGUCAAGUGGCUUCAAAUAGCUGCUGCCCUCCUCACUCAUCUAACAAGAGAACUCUCUCACUCUCUCUCUCUCUCUCUCUCUCUCUCUCUCUCUCUCUCUCUCUCUCUCUCUCUCUCUCUCUCUCUCUCUCUCUCUUUCUCUCACACACACACACACACACACACACACACACACACACACACACACACACACACACACACACACACACACACACACACACACACACACACACACACACACGCACGCACGCACACACACACACUUCUCUGUAUCAAUCUUCCUCGACUCGCCUCCUAACAGAAAGAAAGGUAUUUUUCAUUGCCCAUUGCUAUACACAUAAGGUUACAGUAACAUCACAGUCUGUGGUUUCCCCCUGUGACCCAUUCAAAGUCAAACGUAUUUGUAUCUGUCCGCCGGCACCAAAGGAUGCGUCGGGCAAGGCCCACUUUCUUGAUGGUGGGAGGGGUGUGGGCGAUGCAAAGCCUCUGACUGAAACAGACUCUGUUGUUGAGGCUCACACCUCAGCGGCGGCCCACCCAACCCAACUAUGAGGGCCUGUUCUCCAGAGAGUGUCCACAGACCAGUUGUCCAGUUGGGGGAGUUUGGGUGUGUGUGUGCAUUUAUUAUGUGCGUUUGUGUGUGUGUGUGUGUGUGUGCCUGUUUGGGGCUGGGGAACUGGGAAGUGGGGGGGGGGAUGGG
ensembl:lncRNA